ensembl:lncRNA
AGCAGAAUCAGGAACAAGCACAGAGAUGCCCUCAGCAGGUCCCUGCCAACCCAUAGCAGAGGAUCUCUUCUAUUCUACAGUACAAUAAGUUGCAGAGAGAGAUGACUGAAAACAUCUGAGUGAGAGUAAAAACAAAGAAGUGACCAAAUGUUAUUACAUAUUGUUUUGUUUUUAUUAAUCAAGUUGUACAUUGCUUGUUGUUGAUGUUGUACAUCAAACCCAGACAUUGCUGUCUGUAACCUGUUAACGGAUUUGUUUGUUCAGAAAUAGCUGCUUACCAUUCCGCGUGGUUACAAGUGUAUAUAUACAGUUUGAAUCAACUUCUAAAUAGGUUUAAUCACCUUGUUCGAUCUUCUUUCCAUUUUUACACAUGUAUGAAUGCUAUUACAGUAAAAGAGCUGCUGCAGCUUUCAAAGACACCCACUGUGGUCAACCGCUAACGUCAAAGUGUC